UACGGGGGGAGCAAGCGUUGUUCGGAUUUACUGGGCGUAAAGGGCGCGUAGGCGGGCAUUCAAGUCUGUGGUGAAAUCCGGCAGCUCAACUGUCGAAUUGCCGUGGAUACUGGGUGUCUCGAGGGAGGUAGGGGCACGCGGAACUUCCGGUGGAGCGGUGAAAUGCGUAGAUAUCGUAAGGAAGACCAGUGGCGAAGGCGGGUCUCUGGACAGUUCCUGACGCUGAGGCACGAAGGCCAGGGGAGCAAACGGG
rnacentral:rRNA from 1 species